ACUCAAAUGAAUAGACGGGGACCCGCACAAGCGGUGGAGCGUGUUGUUUAAUUCGAUGCUAAGCGAAGAACCUUACCCAGGUUUGACAUCCUGUGAAUUUCUACGAAAGUAGAGAGUGCCUUCGGGAAUACAGUGACAGGUGAUGCAUGGCCGUCGUCAGCUCGUGUCGUGAGAUGUUAGGUUAAGUCCUUUAACGAGCGCAACCCUUAUAGUUAGUUGAAUUUUUCUAGCUAGACUGCCCUGGUAACAGGGAGGAGGGAGGGGAUGAUGUCAGGUCAGUAUUUCCCUUAUAUCUGGGGCUACAAACACGCUACAAUGGCCGGUACAGAGGGCAGCCAACCCGCGAGGGGGAGCAAAUCCCAUCAAAGCCGGUCUCAGUUCGGAUAGCAGGCUGAAACUCGCCUGCUUGAAGCUGGAAUCGCUAGUAACGGUAGGUCAGCACACUACCGUGAAUACGUUCCCGGGUCUUGUACACACCGCCCGU
rnacentral:rRNA from 1 species